rnacentral:lncRNA from 1 species
CAUAAACUGAUCUAGCUGGAUGUGGAAAUGAGCCUGGUGCUUCGUCUUAGUCUAGUUCAGCACAUUUUUCGCAGGUGACUUUGGUGGAAACAUGGGCGUGCAUGUAUGUGCAUGUGUGUGUGUGCGUGUAUCGCUGUGUGUGCAUGUGUGUCUGCGUAUAUCUGUAUGUGUGUCUGCCUAUGUGUAUCUGUAUGUGCAUAUGUGUGUCUGUGUGUCUCUGUGUAUCGGUAUGUGUGUGUCUGCGUAUGUGUGUCUGUGUGUACAUGUGUGUGUCUCUGUGUGUCUGUGUCUGCAUGUGUCUCUGUGUGUGCAUGUGUAUGUCUGCGUGUGUCUCUAUAUAUCUGUACGUGUGUCUCUGCAUGUCUGCCUAUGUCUGCAUAUGUGUGUGUCUGUAUGUGCAUGUGUGUGCAUAUGUGUGUCUGUGUCCCUGUCUAUCUGUAUGUGUGUGUCUCUGUGUGUCUGUGUGCACAUGUGUGUCUGUGUGUCUCUGUGUAUCUGUAUGUGUGUGUCUUUGUGUAUGUGUGUCUGUGUGUACAUGUGUGUGUCUCUGUGUGUGCAUAUGUGUGUCUCAUGUGUCUCUGUAUGUGUGUGUAUCAGCGUGUCUGUGUGUGUCUGCGUAUGUAUGUGUGUCCAUGCUUACAAAUGCUUGCCCCCCAGAUUCUCACACCCAGCUUCUCUCUGCAGCCCCCAGUGUGCCGGCUUAGGGCUGCCCCCGCCUGCGAUGUGCCUGAGCCCUCGGUGAGGAUGCUGAGAACACAGUGGCAAGUGUGCCUCCCACUAGCCGUGCAAGACGAGUGUGAGUGGAGACACUGUGUGCGGUGUGCAGCCCAGUGCCCGCCGAGACCCUCCAGUCAUGGGCAAAGAGAACGACGCUUCCUCUCCUUUCGUACUCUCCCGAGACCUUGGAUGCUGAGCACAAUCAAAUCCAGGUAGCUUUAGCCUCUAGAGACACCGGAGUAUUCCAGAAACCAUCUGCGAACAGGAGAUCUGUGUCCCUGGCCCUACACCGUGAUGGGCAGCACAACAGGGACAACGCUGUCCCCGUGAGACCACGGUGGCUCCAGCUGUGCUGGGACCUGCAGAGUGUCCGUGCC